rnacentral:rRNA from 1 species
UACGUAGGGCGCAAGCGUUGUCCGGAAUUAUUGGGCGUAAAGAGCUCGUAGGUGGCUUGUUGCGUCUGCCGUGAAAGCCCGUGGCUUAACUACGGGUCUGCGGUGGAUACGGGCAGGCUAGAGGCUGGUAGGGCAAGCGGAAUUCCUGGUGUAGCGGUGAAAUGCGCAGAUAUCAGGAGGAACACCGGUGGCGAAGGCGGCUUGCUGGGCCAGUUCGUGACGGCUGAGGAGCGAAAGUGUGGGGAGCGAACAGG